rnacentral:pre_miRNA from 1 species
GCAUGGAAGAGGAAGAAAAGAGUGUCAAUUGGCAUGGGAACAUAGAGGAAGGCAUAUGAGGUGAAAAUAUAUUCUGGGUCUUCCUGAUGCCUCCCAUGCCUAUUGUUCUUAGGUGCUCCUUCCUCUUCCUUUUGGAU